rnacentral:pre_miRNA from 1 species
AUGAUAUGAAAUCAGCGUUUGGGUAUGCGAUUUUACAUUGAUUUCAUAUCAUGA